GACGAACGCUGGCGGCGUGCCUAAUACAUGCAAGUCGAGCGAACCAAUAAGAAGCUUGCUUUUUGUUGGUUAGCGGCGGACGGGUGAGUAACACGUGGGCAACCUGCCUGUAAGACCGGGAUAACUCCGGGAAACCGGUGCUAAUACCGGAUAGAUUAUCUUUCCGCAUGGAGAGAUAAGGAAAGAUGGCUAUUGCCAUCACUUACAGAUGGGCCCGCGGCGCAUUAGCUAGUUGGUGAGGUAACGGCUCACCAAGGCGACGAUGCGUAGCCGACCUGAGAGGGUGAUCGGCCACACUGGGACUGAGACACGGCCCAGACUCCUACGGGAGGCAGCAGUAGGGAAUCUUCCGCAAUGGACGAAAGUCUGACGGAGCAACGCCGCGUGAGCGAAGAAGGUCUUCGGAUCGUAAAGCUCUGUUGUUAGGGAAGAACAAGUAUCGGAGGAAAUGCCGGUACCUUGACGGUACCUGACGAGAAAGCCACGGCUAACUACGUG
rnacentral:rRNA from 1 species